UAAGCAUAUCAAUAAGCGGAGGAAAAGAAACCAACAGGGAUUGCCCUAGUAACGGCGAGUGAAGCGGCAAAAGCUCAGAUUUGAAAUCUCUCUAUUUAAUAGAGCGAAUUGUAGUCUGUAGAAGGUUGGAUGGCUGACGCCUCUGAUAUAAGUUCCCUGGAAUAGGACAUCAUAGAGGGUGAGAAUCCCGUGAUUUUAUCAGUUUGGCUAGGCUACUAAAUUCACCUUUCGACGAGUCGAGUUGUUUGGGAAUGCAGCUCUAAAUGGGUGGUAAAUUUCAUCUAAAGCUAAAUAUCUGCCAGAGACCGAUAGCGAACAAGUAGCGUGAGCGAAAGGUGAAAAGCACUUUGAAAAGAGAGUUAAAAAGUACGUGAAAUUGUUGAAAGGGAAGCGCUUGCUGUUAGACUUGAUAGCUAAAUUCAGCCAACUCAUGGGUUCGGCCUAUUUUUUAGUUUUUCAGGCCAGCAUCAGUUCAGCGGGAGAGUUAAAAGUGAAAGGAAUGUAGUAAUUGCUUCGGCAGUCAUGUUAUAGCCUUUUGCAGCAUCUCUCCACGCCGGACUGAGGUCUGCUCUUCGGAAAGGAUGCUGGCAUAAUGACAGUAAGCGACCCGUCUUGAA
rnacentral:rRNA from 1 species